rnacentral:rRNA from 1 species
CGCUGGCGGCGCGUCUAAGCAUGCAAGUCGGACGGCAAGGGGAGCUUGCUCCCCCUAGGAGUGGCGGACUGGUGAGUAACGCGUGGGUGACCUACCCUUGAGAUGGGGAUAGCCAUUAGAAAUAGUGGAUAAUACCGAAUACGCUCUUUUUGCUGUGGCGAGAAGAGGAAACAGGCUACGGCCUGGCUCGAGGAUGGGCCCGCGUCCCAUUAGCUAGUUGGUGAGGUAACGGCCCACCAAGGGCGACGAUGGGUAUCCGGCCUGAGAGGGUGUACGGACACAUUGGGACUGAGAUACGGCCCAAACUCCUACGGGAGGCAGCAGCUAAGAAUAUUCCGCAAUGGACGAAAGUCUGACGGAGCGACGCCGCGUGGAUGAAGAAGGCCCGAAAGGUUGUAAAAUCCUUUUGCUGAUGAAGAAUAAGUGGUGUAGGGAAUGACAUCAUGAUGACAUUAGUCGGUGAAUAAGCCCCGGCUAACUACGUGCCAGCAGCGGC